rnacentral:rRNA from 1 species
GAUUCAGCGGCGGACGGGUGAGUAAUGCUUAGGAAUCUGCCUAUUAGUGGGGGACAACAGUUGGAAACGGCUGCUAAUACCGCAUACGCCCUACGGGGGAAAGGAGGGGAUCUUCGGACCUUUCGCUAAUAGAUGAGCCUAAGUCAGAUUAGCUAGUUGGUGGGGUAAAGGCCUACCAAGGCGACGAUCUGUAGCGGGUCUGAGAGGAUGAUCCGCCACACUGGGACUGAGACACGGCCCAG